AGCUCCAAUAGCGUAUAUUAAAGUUGUUGCGGUUAAAAAGCUCGUAGUUGGAUUUUUGGGUUGGCAUUAUUGGUCGAGGUUUCCUCUGCACCGAUGAGUCGGCUCUUUUGUCUUGAGACUGCGGCCGGGGCUUGAUUGUUCCGGUCGGGGGAUCUAUGACAUUUACUUUGAACAAAUUAGAGUGUUUAAAGCAGGCAUAUGCCUUGAAUACAUUAGCAUGGAAUAACGUAUAGGACUUUGGUUCUAUUUUGUUGGUUUUAAGGACCAGAGUAAUGAUUAAUAGGGACAGUUGGGGGCAUUAGUAUUUAGUAGCUAGAGGUGAAAUUCUUAGAUUUACGAAAGACUAACUUCUGCGAAAGCAUCUGCCAAGGAUGUUUUCAUUAAUCAAGAACGAAAGUAC
rnacentral:rRNA from 1 species